rnacentral:rRNA from 1 species
AGAGUUUGAUUCUGGCUCAGAACGAACGCUGGCGGCGUGGAUAAGACAUGCAAGUCGAACGAGAGAAUUGCUAGCUUGCUAAUAAUUCUCUAGUGGCGCACGGGUGAGUAACACGUGAGUAACCUGCCCCCGAGAGCGGGAUAGCCCUGGGAAACUGGGAUUAAUACCGCAUAGUAUCGAAAGAUUAAAGCAGCAAUGCGCUUGGGGAUGGGCUCGCGGCCUAUUAGUUAGUUGGUGAGGUAACGGCUCACCAAGGCGAUGACGGGUAGCCGGUCUGAGAGGAUGUCCGGCCACACUGGAACUGAGACACGGUCCAGACACCUACGGGUGGCAGCAGUCGAGAAUCAUUCACAAUGGGGGAAACCCUGAUGGUGCGACGCCGCGUGGGGGAAUGAAGGUCUUCGGAUUGUAAACCCCUGUCAUGUGGGAGCAAAUUAAAAAGAUAGUACCACAAGAGGAAGAGACGGCUAACUCUGUGCCAGCAGCCGCGGUAAUACAGAGGUCUCAAGCGUUGUUCGGAAUCACUGGGCGUAAAGCGUGCGUAGGCUGUUUCGUAAGUCGUGUGUGAAAGGCGCGGGCUCAACCCGCGGACGGCACAUGAUACUGCGAGACUAGAGUAAUGGAGGGGGAACCGGAAUUCUCGGUGUAGCAGUGAAAUGCGUAGAUAUCGAGAGGAACACUCGUGGCGAAGGCGGGUUCCUGGACAUUAACUGACGCUGAGGCACGAAGGCCAGGGGAGCGAAAGGGAUUAGAUACCCCUGUAGUCCUGGCAGUAAACGGUGCACGCUUGGUGUGCGGGGAAUCGACCCCCUGCGUGCCGGAGCUAACGCGUUAAGCGUGCCGCCUGGGGAGUACGGUCGCAAGAUUAAAACUCAAAGGAAUUGACGGGGACCCGCACAAGCGGUGGAUGAUGUGGAUUAAUUCGAUGCAACGCGAAAAACCUUACCUAGCCUUGACAUGCCAGGAAUCCUGAAGAGAUUCGGGAGUGCCCGCAAGGGAAUCUGGACACAGGUGCUGCAUGGCUGUCGUCAGCUCGUGUCGUGAGAUGUUGGGUUAAGUCCCGCAACG